CUUAAUCCUAUUACAUGCCACAACACUGCGCCCGUCCACACGCUGUGCUCAAUGCAGUGCCAGCGGCCCGGCUGGAAGGCACCCGCACUUUAUUAAAACGCCACAGUACACCAUGUGCCAGGGGAACAGGGCCGGAGAGAGUGGGUACACGCUGACCCUCCAUAACGUCACCACACAGCGCUGCACUCUGUUUCUUGGUUUUAAAGCUAAUUGAUCAAGAUACUUCCAGUGUUGUUUCUGAAUUGGGCUUUGAGUUGAUCCUCAAAAUUCUGCGAGGAGCCGUGAGGAUUCGUAAGCGCAGCGUUCCAGUUACGUCUGUUUUUGGAAAGAGAUUGUUUGUUUAUUGGAGAAAUUUCACUAUUUACUCUGAAAUGAUCCGAUCUUGUUCCCCAUUCGAAAAAAAAGGCAGUAUUACUCAUGUUAAAGAAGUCUAAUUUUACACCAUUGAGUAGUGUAAGCAAAGCAUCAAUUUACACGUUCACUAAUUUACAUUAACAUUAUAGGAGUGCCAAGCUCAGGAGGGCAUGUUCUAUCACCAGACAUUGUGCUUUUUCUAACAUGUGGCAGGGCGGUAAGUGUUCCUGCCAUCUUGCCAGAGUGUGGUGGGAAUUUUUUAUUGAUAAACCUUGUGAUGAACCUGUGUGUCACUUUGGCUCAAGGGAUGACCCUAAGUGGGGUGCAGGAAAGACAAUUUCUUUAGAUUUCAUUCCCUCACCCACCACCUUGAAUCUGGUGUCAGCCAGCAGUGAUGCAAGGCAAUGAGGCGUCCUCAGUGGCUGUGGAUAAAAUUCCAGGCCCUGUUUCUCAAGAGGUAGCAUAUGAGACAGCUGCAGAGGAGGGACAGCAUCUGUUCACCAGAGGAAUGACCCGAGUAUUACGACACGGUCGUAUAUUGUUUAUGAGGCCCUUUUCGCUUUCUUCUCCGAAGAUUGCAGAAACUGUUUUCAGACUCCUUUGCAGGAUUGAUGUUGUGUGUCAUCAUGAAAAUGCAGAAUGCAAACACAGUGACAUGAAAGACAAACGCGACAGUUGCACUCAUGUUGCUUUUUCCAUGCCAUUUUCAAAUGUCCUUCAAGCUCGCUCUGGAUUGUUACUGGUAGUGUGAGUUAUCCUGAAUUGUCUGGUUGGAAGACAGGAAAUCAGUAUAAAAAAAACAAAACAAGAAUCAAUAUCGCAGGCACAGCAUAUUCUUAACUUGUGAUGAUAAAAAAAAAAUUGUACAAGUUGCACAGCCAUUUUAUUGUUUUAUAAAGUGGGAACUUACACCAGUUAUAUAUAAAGUAUGUUUAGUGUAACUAUUUCUACUUAGAAACAGUGUAAAAUGCUAAUGUGUUUAUUCUUAUAAACGACUUCAAUGAUGUGUGUUGGUUUACCCAGCGCAGUGUUCAGUUUGAAUUAUUUAUCAGUGCUAAACUGAGGUUUGUUUGCCCAGUGGGAAGUCUGUGCAGAAACAGUACUGAAGCAGACGACUCUGUCCUUUAAAUGCUCUUUACUUGCUCUCACACCGACGACAAAAUGGCCUGUUGAAGAUCACAGAGGUUAAGCCGCUGACCAGCCUGGCUGUUGGCAGCACAGAGGUUUUUAAGCUUUGUGUGUGUGUGUGUGUGUGUGUGUAUGUAUAUGUGUGUGUGUGUGUGUGUGUGUGUGUGUGUGUGUGUGUGUGGUGGAUGUACGCUGCUGGAGCAGGUUCUCUGGACCUGCCACAGUGCACAGAUGCAUCAGACAUCUGUCCAUUCUUUUUGUCUUCCUUGGGGCUAAGACUUGUCUUUCCUGGCUCUCUCUUGCUUUAUACCAACUCCACACAGACGGAUCAGCUGUAGCGCCUGUGAGAGAGCAGGCACGUCGGGCACCCUGCUGGGUGGCCGUGUGAACGAGGCCUCUGAAGCUGCCCUUUGAUUCUCCUCUUUUCUUGUUCUCAUCUCAGCCCGAGUGAUCACAGCUCCCUCCAAACAGACGCAAAUGAAGCAGUUGUCUUUUGUUUGUCCCCCCCCGUCUGUCUGCCUCUCUGUCUCUCUCUCCUUCCUUUUCUUACUGCUUUUUUUUUGGGACCUCUCCCGGGCUCCCCAGCCCCCCGGCGCAUGUCGGGUAGACAGACAGGGCCGGCGGCUCCAGCAUCGGAUCAUCAGCCAGCUGUGCGGUGUGCAGCCGAGGAUCUGUCCUAAUCCCCCCGCUCUGUUCUCCGCCUUCUGACGGCUUUGAGCCCAGACUUUAUUCCAUUUGUUUGUUUGUUUUUUGUUUGCUUAUGCCUUUUUGUCCCGCUUCACCACCACCACCACCACCACCACUACACCCCCUUAUUACUUACACACCCCCAACUCUCACAACAUUCAGCAGACCCCACAGUGUGUAAAGUGGAAAAAAAACAUGCAAGCCAAAGAGCUGCAUACACUUACAGUGCUCUCAACUUCUGAUUCACAACUUUAGGCUCGCCUCUCUGGGUUUGCUGGAGUUCAUUGCAGUUUGGACAGGGAGGUUAGUUGCCUUUAUGACCGAUAUCCACAUGAAUUGUAGCAUCCAGAGUCUUAAAUUUUGAACCAGUGAUCACUAUGACCCAGUUAAGGAGAUCCUACAUAUCAAUGUCACUUCGUGAAAUAUAUGCUAGAUUGGGUAAGACAUUAAUCAUGCCAUCCAGGGACAUUUUGUCUGCGUCCAAAAUCGCAUACAGUGACAGUACCUACUGCAAUCGAUUCAGUACCUACUGCUCAAAAUACUGAUCAGUAUAAGAGGUAUGCAUGAAUACAAUCCGGACGUACUACGCGACGUGGAUUCUGACAACUCUUCCUCGCUAGUCCCGUUGCCUUAUGGGAUAGCGCAGUAUCCACAGUGUCCAGUGGUUCCACACUGCAGAAUCUCAGCAGAAGCAGUAGGUCAUCCAGGUAUUUCUCGCUUACUGUUUUAUGAAUACUGAGAAUCCGGACAUACUACUAGGGUAUUUGGACGCAGCCUUAGUACAUCUUUAUUAACUAUGCACAGCGGAGCUCAACCUUUUCCCUAAAUCUCAAGCUUGGUGUGUAUGUGACCGCACUAGAGCAUGCUUCCUCCUGCAUUACAGAUUUUCUAUCAAGACCACACUUUUGUGUUUGCUUUGGACCAGAAUGCAGAGAGCCAUGUUUUGUUGUUUGUGCUAAAGCUUUGUCAAACGUUUAUUUUUAGUAAAUCUCUCAUUUCAAAGACCUAAUUGAAAUUAUGCUUGCAGCGUGAGAUGACACAUGGCCUUAGAAGUGAAUGUGUUUGUGGAUCAUCACACUUCAGAAAUAGACAUGAUGCAUGAAAGUGUUUAAAGCAUUUCGAUUUAAUUGGGAGAGUUUGGUGUGUAGUAUGUGCAGAACUGUCGCACAGAGGUCUGGAGAGGGGGCAGCAGACAACUUCUUACGGCCUUUUGAGAAACCGUGUCUCCGUAACGCUCAUACUGAUGAUCAGGAGGCCUCUUGCGCUUUGCUGACAGUGUCAUUGACUUGUCCUCUGAAAAAAGUUCUUGUUCUAAAGCCCAUAAAGCAUUGAAGACCCACUGCAGCGUUGGCGUUAAGCACUUUCUCAUCCCACCCCAGAAUUCCAUUAAACUUUACACGCCUCUCUGCCUUCCUUCAACCUCACACGAGUGUGUGUGUAUGUGUGUAUGUGUGUGUGGGAGGGCAGAGCACAAUCCCCCGAAUAGGCGAGAAUGGGAAAAUGAAUAAAAGAGCGAGCAGAUGCAGCUCCAUGCCAGAGGGAGGCUGCCACUGUGCGUGAAGUCUGCCGCUCCACCAAACUGCUGCAAGACCAAGUCGGUGGGAGGUGCGUGUACCAUCCGACGGGCAACAAAAGCACGAAGCCUGUGCCCUUCGUGAAAAGUAGUAGGGGAAAAAGGAAAGGAGGUUGCCGCCAGCCGUGAGAAGCCAUGUUCGCGCUUUGGGGCGAGGGCGGGCGCGGGCACUGGCAGGUAGGAGGGCGGUAUGCGAGGUGCUGGGCGGCAGCCAUCUUGUUGGGGGGAGCAGAUGGCAGCAGGGCUGUGAGAGGAGGGGCUGCUUAGCAGAACUAAUCAGACAGUAACGGAUGGGGCAGCUGGGACCGCUGCCGGCCAGGCGGGACAGCACCAUGAUGUUGACAGUGGUGUGCCCGUUGGCCUGGCAAGAGACCUUGCCACGUCUUCACGCCUCGCCUACAGGGCUGCAGGCCCCCUCCUCGUGUGGCACAGGGCAGGACCACCGCUUUUGUCUUCUGUCAUUAUCGACCUCUCAGAACAUGACAUCACAUGGCCUUUUGUUUGAAUGAAUUAAAGUUUGUCCCAAAGUCUGGUGAGCAUAGGCAUGUAGCAUUCUAAAGAAAUAUUUGCAGUAUAUUCUUGUAGGUUAUCAGUCAUCUAGGUUAUUAAAUCCUAAUAGAAGGAAAGUCAAGGUCACGGUGAUUGGACUUGUGGCGUAAUAUUGAAAAAGGCAUGAUGCUGCCUGAGCCAAUUAUACAUUUAACCUGGCAUGACUAUAAUGCUGAUAUCACACUAGGUAGAAAAAAAAAAAUCAAAUCUAGAUCAGUACUAGCUGUCAGGGCUGGGCAACAUGACCAUUUUAUCAAGAUCAUAAUAUAUAAAUGUCAUUAGCUGUCAUUGUUUUAAUAAAUCCAUAGUUAGACACCGAUUCAACAUUAACCCCUUAAACUACCAGGACAGACUUUCCUAUCAGUUUGACUGUACUUACUGCAUAAGCCAUAGCAGCAGUAAUAUACUUAGAAUAAUUUGAAUUAAAAAUAAGCCAGGACUUCUAUAUUUUUAUGUAGAAGUCUGUAAGUUGAAUCUAUAUUCAACUUUAUCUAUAUCAUGAUUAACUUUGCAUGUGUGUGGUUUUAAGUAUAUGUUACAACAAAAUAUCAGGUCAUGAACAUUGGUUUAUUGUGAAGAUGUCCUCAAGUAUUGCGAUUUGUGUAUUU